AUCCGCCCCUUAGUGCUGCAGCUAACGCAUUAAGCACUCCGCCUGAGGAGUACGGUCGCAAGACUGAAACUCAAAGGAAUUGACGGGGGCCCGCACAAGCGGUGGAGCAUGUGGUUAAUAGGAAGCAACGCGAAGAACCUUCCCAGGUCUCGACAUCCUUUACAAUCCUAGAGAUAGGAUCUCCCCUUCGGGGGCAGAGGACAGGUGGAGCAUGAGAGCACGAGCGAGGAGGG
rnacentral:rRNA from 1 species